UCUUUUUUUUAAUAACUAAAGAUUGGUCUCCUUAGUGCUAACUAUGCGACACUUUAACUGACGACAAUGCCUAAGUAAAUAAUGUGGUUUUCUGGGUUGCCCAGGCUGCCAGGGAACGCCAAAGAAUUCCACAGCUGACUCACAGCACUGAGCAUCUUGGGUCCUGGCUUUGUAAGAUUACUUAAUUUAGGUCACUAUGACUAAGAGCUUAGUGAGUUUCAUAAUGUCCUGCUGAAGGAUCCACUGGGUGUGGCCGGCAGAAGAUACUCAGGGAAAACUGAUGGAAUGGAGGCAGAAUAUAUUUUGGAGAGGAAACGCCUUCUCUAUUUGGAUGAGCUCAACAUCAAAACAAAGACGGAUGCUCUUCUGCCAGCACAGAAAGAUAAAACACGAACCCAAGUCCAAGUGGGUUGCGUUCCCUCCAGAUCUCGGCCACACGUCUGUCUCAGUGCCUGCCUCGUCCAGGCAGCCUCCCACUCUGCUUGCUGGGAAGGACUAGGGCUCCUACUGUCCCCUACAGGGGGAAGAACGCUGUUCAAGAGCGAAAAGAAAAAUUUCACAGAACUUAAAAAAAAGGGAAAGAGGAAAGGAGAGGAGAGGAAGGUCUGAACCUGAUUGUCUGUCCCCAGACGGUUUUUAGUGAGAGCUCAAGCUGCAAAGGACCAGAGAUGUCCUGGGUUCUGGGAAAGUCAGCAGCAAUCAGGGCAGGCUUGUAGGGGUCUGCCACGAGGACAAUGUGGGGAAGGGCGGUGAGAAAGGGAAAUGAAGCACAUGUUGGUCUGCCAAGUGAUCUUUCCACAAGCUGCUAUCUUUUCUUAUCAUCGUUACUACUAUUUUGUUUGAGCAGGGGUUAGAAUGUAAAAUGCAGAUUCCACCUGUGUAAAGUGCCAACGACACACUUAGGAUUAGAUGAUUCUGCACUAGAAAUUUCAACCUGGUUUUCAAAGUGAUUCCUAUGUAGCGUAAUGACUUCAACUGUUUGGGAAAUGACUUGUCAAGCCACGAGCCAUGCUAAGCUCAGUGCAAGCGACUGAGGCAGUGGAAGUGGGCGAGGGAGGCCAUGCGAUGAGCAAUGUAAUGAUGUGCCCACUGCAAGCCAGGCAUGAGAAGAGCCACUCAGCCACAGAAGCAGUGGGGGUUCCCUGGCAGGGGUCACCACAGUGAGGUCACCAUGGUCCAGCAGACUUCAGAGUGCAUGAGGAACACUCGGCUCACUGUCAGAAAGGCAGAAUCAGAGACCCCACCCAGGGCCCAGGAAUAUGUAUAUCAGCAAAUCUUCCCAGGAUUCUGGUGCCAGGGCUCUAAGAACAGUAUUUAAACCACAAUACAGCAGUAAGAUGAUUACUUUUUAAGUCAGCAAACUCAGACAAGCAGCCUUCAGCAUACCAUUUUUAAGCCCUCUGUGCCUCGGUUUCUCCAAUGAUGAGACAGAAACUGUCACUUCCCACGAUUAAGAUAGCUGAUUAAGAGAAUAUGUUAUAAAAUCUACCUAGGCCACCCUUGAUUCCUGGCUCUCUCAUCUUCCUCGGCUGGCAUCAUUCAGAAAGGAAGUAGGUGUGGUUAUCUUAUUCUAACUAAGGGAAAUCCAUUUACUAAGCAUAUAGACAUAUAAAAACAGAUGUAAAAGAAAUAUUUUGCCUAUAGAUAAGAACAUACUUAAUAAUUUUGAUAUGCCUUUAUUCUUUA